UAAACGUCAUUUAUCAACGUAUUCUUGAUUAUAUUAGAUGUGUUUAAUAAACAUAUUUAAGAAAUUUAAUCAUACCGUAAUAAUAUGUAGUUUUAUUGUGUUAUAUUUGAAUAGUGUAUUUUAAAAUGAGUUGGAAAAUCAAUUCGUGUUGUUUUUGUUUUCCCUUGAAACCAGGUUUAUUCGUUUGGGGAUAUCUUGCCAUUAUUUUAAUUUACUUCACAGUCCUCCGGAUGCUCUUCAAGAUUAUGGAUAUUUUAGAUGAAUACAAACAUUUCGACCCGUUGUCGUAUAUAGAAAUAUCUCUAUCACUGGGAAUAUCUAUAAUAUAUUUUAUAUUCUACAUCGUGUUCGUAGCAGGUCUACAUAGAAGAAGUCGAGGCUGUCUAGAGAUAUUCUACGGUUACAACGUUAUCACAAUAAUAGGACUAACUAUCAUAAUUUCUCUAUAUAUUCCAGUUAAGGCAUAUAGAAUACGCAAUUUGUUUCUGAGUGAUGUCUGGAUCUUCGUCGUGGCCGGUGUAUGCUCAACGGGUAUUGUGCUACUAUUUCAACUCUACCUCACGAUAGCUGUGCGGAGCCUUAUUUCGAAUCUAGAAGAUGAUAGAGAUUGUGCAGCAAAUAAUUACAUAAUAGAGGAUCCUGAAUGCAUCAUACAUGGAUACGUAGAAAGAAAUAACUCUGAAGUUUAAAUUUCUUGUGAUUAUAUGUUAUGUUUGAUGAUCAAUAAAAAAUCAAUAAUUGACAUGUACCAGGGAGAAUGUCAUGGUACAGACGUAUCGGAAUCGCGUAGCCCUUCCGUUAGAAGUGCUAUUAUGUGAGAACACACUUCGUAUCUCACUCGUUAAAGGGAAAUCGAUUAAGUGAUACAAUAUUUUGAUACGUGUAUCCUAUAAAUAUUAUAAUUGUCAUGGUCAAUAUCGCAUAUCAUUUUCUGAUAUUUCAGUCGUAUUUCGCGGUGAGUUUCAAGUCUGUUCUUACACAAUAGCUAAUAAUAUAAUUGUAACUAUAUAAUAUAAUUGUAAAUAUAAUUGUAGCUACAGUUUUUAUUUGAAUGUAAUCUUUUGGCUCAAACAAUAUUUUAUUAUUUAACUCUAAUUUGUUUUUUAUAUGCAAUGAGGUUUAAAAAAUAUUAAAACAGUUUUCCGUCGUAAACAUUUAACGUAUUUCAUUGCAUGUGCCUUUAUAAUUAUGAUCUGAUAUUAAAUUAAUCGUCACGAAACUUAAAGGAAUUUUCUGAUUUGUUGUAAUGUUGAUUAAUAAUAUUUCACGUUAUCGUGUUGUCCGUUUGCAAGCAUCCGGUCUGUCAUGUCGUCAUGUUUGUCAACAAUUAAGCACAACAAAACAUUCCGCACUUCCAGUCCAUUCAUGUUCGAGAGUUGGCAAGAAAAUUCAAAGAGAUUAUAACAAAUAUUUGCUUCCUUGUCAUGGAUGGAAUUUUGUGUUGAAACCAGCAUGUGUUGGAUAAGCCCUUAUAUAUCUCGCAUUAAUUAUUAGUAAGCUUAUUAUCUUUUUGUCACAAACAAACACACAAACACAUAAAGUUGUAUAUUUUUUUAUAUAGAAUAGGAAGGCGGACGAGCAUAUGGACCACCUGAUGGCACGUGAUGGUAAGUGGUCACCCACGCCCAUAGACAUUGGCAUUGUAAGAAAUGUUAACCAUCGCUUACAUCACCAAUGCGCCACCAACCUUGGGAACUAAGAUGUUAUGUCCUUUGUGCCUGUAAUUAAACUGGCUCACUGACCCUUUAAACCGGAAUACAAUAAUACCAAGUAUUGUCGUUUUGCGGCAGAAUAUCUGAUGAGUGGGUGGUACCUACCCAGACGAGCUUGCACAAAGCUCUACCACAAGUUACAUAUAAUUGCUCUUAGGAAUUAUUCUCUCUAAUUCCUGCUUCCCCUUUCCUUCACAAGUCAACGCAUGCUGGCUCUCGAUGUCACCGCCUAACAUCAAUUCCAUUCCAUUUUUCUCCUCUUAUAACCUGGGUUCCUUCAAACGAGGCAUCUUAUGGGCCGGCACGCCUAGUGUAGUUCGUUCUUUCCGACUGUACUGGCCCUCGUCGUUUUGUACUCUAUUAUCACUUAUCAUCAGGUGGAGUUGACUCAUUGGACUUCCCAGCAAUUUAAAAAAAUAUUAAUAAAAAACAAAUUUCUUAGGCGUAUGAGUAGGUAAUAAUCACAAAUAACUCUUCUGGGACAUGAUAAGUAGCUUUGAUUUGAUAAUAAUAAUGUUACAUUUAGGAUUUUUAAUAAGAAAAAAUUAACAUAGGUAAUACGGCGAGACACAGCUAGUAGAUACAAAAUAAAGGAAAUUUAAAAGAGAACCAAAAAAACGCAAUUCUAUAUUCUACUACAGAAUUGAAUAUAAAGGGCCACAUUUGUAUUUUCCCAAUCCCAAUAAAUCCAAUUGAAACCAUUGGGUUUCUUAUUUCCUCGAGCUAUUAAAAAUAUUUAUGGGUAUAUAUAAAUAAAAUAAUUACAUACUGAUAAAUUUAUCUUCAUAAACCGAAGCAAAUGUCAGCUUUGGGUCAGAAAUAAUGCGAUCGUACACAGUACAGCUGUUUGUAAAUAAUAAAACGUAAAAGGAGUAACACGUUUCGAAAACAAUAUAAUUGUUGUUCGAAAUUUAAAUAUUUUCCAUAUACUUUUAAAAUAUAUAAAAAUGAAGUGUGAAAUUCCUGAAUAUGCGAGAUGUUGUUUUUGCUUUCCACUCAGGCUGGGAUUACUACUGUGGUUUUAUGUGAAAUUAGUUUUCAGUUUACUACUUUUGGCCAAUUUAAUAGGCGUUAUAGUUACACGCUGUAUACACGUUGGUUACCCCGAACGAGUUCAUUUUAUGUGUAUUAACAUAAUUAUAUUUUCAAUUCUCUUAUGUGUGGAUAUUGCUUUUCACAUAAUAUUUAUUGUCAGUGCUCAUACGAAAGAAUAUAGGAAAAUGAAGUUGUUUUAUAAAGAAGCAAUGGUUGCAUUAGGUGUAUAUGUAUUCUAUUUUUUCUAUUACACCAUCUUCGUGCUAUAUGAUUUUGAGUUCUCGCUUAGACAUAUCAGCCUAAUGAUGUGGAUUCUGUUGUUGAUUUGGUCAAUAUCUUUCUGGAUUUUGAUUAGUCAGGCGUAUCUAAUAAUUCUGGUUCGAAGCGAGGCUCUGAAAUUAGAAAGGAGUUCGAACUUCGAAUUCACGAAUCGUGCAGUGGACGCUGAGGCAAUUUAUAACAAUGAUAUUGUAGCUUAAUUUAUCUACCUGUCUCUUUGUUACCUCAUCACGACUAAAUCGCAGAUCGCAAUGUCCACAUAGAUCGGGACGGUCAAGAGCUAUGAUUUAUAGGAUUUAAGGCAAAAAUAAUUUGAUACGGAUGGAGUUGAAAGGAACACGCAGUAUACAAUAUGAAUAUGAAAGGUAUUGUUUUAUGGGCUGGUUAGUUAAUACUCUCUUAUUAUCAGAGCCAAAACCGAGAUAGGAGAAUACGAAGAUCGAGGGCUUAAAUCCUGGCAAGCACCCCUCAACUUUCAUGUGCUUAAUUUGUGUUUUAAUUCAUCUCUUACUAGGCGGUGAAGAAAAAUAUUGUGGUGACCUUUACAUACUUGCAAAUAAACUAUUUGAUCGUGCACAAGGCAUUACCACCAAGUAAAGCUGUCCGACGCUAAUACUUAUUGCUAUAUGGUUUUUUAGUUCAUCUAUUCGGCUGGUUAAGACGUUAAGCACUAAUGUUAUUAACGUAUGUACAAACAUAUAAGAUUGACGAAAGAUCAAUGUGCUGGUUUUUCCAAUCUGCCACAAAUAAUGCAAGAUAUAUUAAUAAAUUAUUUAUAUCUUAAGAUUAUUAUUGUAAUAUAAUAUUAAUAUAAGUAAAUUAAAAAGUAACGAAUAUAAUUUAUUGUACGAGAUACCUCAAUUGUUAUAGAUCGCAAAUAAAUAAUAAAAUUAUAAUAAUGA